UCUUACUAUAUAUAAAAGUUUGGACAAUCACAGGGAGAGUUAUGAGCUCUUCACAAAACAGAAUUUGGGAAAGCUGAGGUUUUUGGACUACAAGACCCAGAAAGCCCAUCAAACAUGGACAAUGGUCAUUUGCCCUCUGCUUCUUAAGGGCAAACUGUUGGGAGCUUGUUUAUAAUGAAGGCAUGAAGAAGGAGAGGAAUGCAGAGGAGCUGUUGGUGAAAUAUCGCUAUUUCAUACUGUGUUUGAUUUUAGUAACCCAGAUUGCAAUGUUUGGGCUUCAGUGGAAGCUCAUUGGCACGAUGACGGUUUAACUUCAAAAUCUUUGUCACAGAUUUGGGGAAGGCUGGGGACUUUAGACUACGCAAAGUCAUGUUCCAGGAGGCGUUGCAUGAGAGGUUGGUUGUGAUUGACAGCAGAGGAGUGACUCUUUAAAAAAACACAGUCCACUUGAAGAACAAGAAAAGGCCCUUAGUCACCUCACCUCAUAAAGUUAAUGAAGAGGCAGGAGCAAAGGUGUGGAUCCUUUUGAAGUCUGGAGAAACCAGGAAAACAGAGCAGAGAAUGGAAGAGCAAUCUUUCUGGGUCAGUGCAACAUCUACUCUGUCCAGCAUUCUGGUUCCUCAGGGGCCAUCCUGAUGCCUUUGGAAAGCCCACAGUCAGAAGAUGAAUGCAAUAGCAUCGUCCCACUUUGCUCCCCAGCAAUCGAUCAGAUGGUGUUAUUUCAGAAAUCUGUAGCUGAGAACCUCCAAACCAUGCACCAAUAUUCAUGGGAAUAUUAAUAAGCAUAAAUAAAUUGAAUGUAACAGUCCCAAAUUUGGAUUAUUAAAAACACUGUGUGUGCCUCAGGAAGAGCUGUGGAUACUCUGGUAUAUGAACUGAAACGAAAAGAUUAUCCCUCCUCCCAUAGGAUUAUCAUCAAGCAAACAAAGUCAGGAUAUACUUGAUACAUUUACCAGCAAAGUCUACU